rnacentral:misc_RNA from 1 species
GGUGAUGGUAGUGGUGGUGGGGUUGAUGAUGACGAUUUUGAUAUCGAUAAUUAUCCACUUGUUCUUGCCAAAUCCAAUAAUGGGUCUGGGAUUUAUGGUGCAGUUUUUAAUCUCACCACAUCGAUUAUUGGGGCAGGGAUUAUGGCCUUGCCAGCUACAAUGAAGGUUCUUGGAUUGGUUUUAGGGGUUGUGUUGAUAAUUCUCAUGGGUAUUCUGUCUGAAAUUAGUGUUGAAUUAUUAGUUAGGUUUUCGGC